rnacentral:lncRNA from 1 species
UGUCAAUUUAAUUAUUCAAACCAAAAAUUUCAUAAUAAGGGUUCAUCACAUCCUAGUAAAAAAAAUUUAGUUAAACAUAGAGUCGAAGUUAAACACGCAAAAGUUAAAAGAAAAACAUCACCAAAAAUUGACGGAACAUAAAUAAUUUUUUUCUCCAAAUGAGCCGGCUUUCUUCUUGUAAUUUCUCCAGCAAACUGCCGUUUUUUCUUCAAAAUUAAGCUGACGUUUUUUAUAUGUUUUCUCUCUGUUAAUUAAGCCGCCGAUCACGUGUCUUUCCGUUAGUGAUUUUCAGCCUUUUCCUCCUCUGUUUGCAUGUAUAAUGUCCCGCAACUUUUCCUCUAAUUCAGCCGCCAAUUGCCUCUUUUUCUAUCUUCAACAACUGCCCACCGUCCCCUUCUCAAUGUGUG